GACGAACGCUGGCGGCGUGCUUAACACAUGCAAGUCGAACGGAAAGGCCCUGCUUUUGUGGGGUGCUCGAUUGGCGAACGGGUGAGUAACACGUGAGUAACAUGCCCUUGACUUUGGGAUAACUUCAGGAAAAUGGGGCUAAUACCGGAUAGGAGCUCCUGCUGCAUGGUGGGGGUUGGAAAGUUUCGGCGGUUGGGGCUGGACUCGCGGCUUAUCAGCUUGUUGGUGGGGUAGUGGCUUACCAAGGCUUUGACGGGUAGCCGGCCUGAGAGGGUGACCGGCGACCUUGGGACUGCGAUACGGCCCAGACUCCUACGGUAGGCAGCAGUCGGGAGUAUUGCACAAUGGGCGGAAGCCAGAUGCAGCAGCGCCGCGUGCGGGAAGACGUCCUUCGGGUUGUAAACCGCUUUCGCCUGUGACGAAGCGUGAGUGACGGUAAUGGGUAAAGAAGCACCGGCUAACUACGUG
rnacentral:rRNA from 1 species